rnacentral:rRNA from 1 species
AGCAGCCGCGGUAAUUCCAGCUCCAAUAGCGUAUAUUAAAGUUGCUGCAGUUAAAAAGCUCGUAGUUGGAUUUCUGGGCUCAAGAAUUUGGCCGGCCACGGUUUCGUGUGUUAGUGCUUUGUUCUGUGUCCAUCCUUCCAAUCGCUAUUGGCUAUUCUUCAUUGAUUGGUCAGUAGUAUUGGAUCUUUUACUUUGAAAAAAU